rnacentral:lncRNA from 1 species
UAGGAUUAGGAUUUAGGUGUAAACCUUUUUCCAAAUAUAUGUGCCCCUUUCAACGAUCGCUCAUUUUUAUACAGUGUUUUGUAUAGCUUGCAGAAGCCGAGUCCUCUGUUCCAAACGUCUACAAUUCGAACGUUUACAAUCCGUUGGGACAGAGGGAGUAUUGCGAUGUCAGGGAAAGAUUUCCAUUCGAGCACAAGAAUCGAACUAUCAACAAAGACCGAAAAAAAAUGAAAGUAUGGUCACUCCCCUCCUAUGCACACAUCUGACUCCAAAUGACUAGCUCCUUCAGGCUGAAAAUCAUAGAAGCUUACUACACUUAACUCCAUUACCAUCUACUAGCAUCCAAGAGGCGAGACAGAGUUUACGAUCAUGAAAGGCACAGGUAAAGUCCCGAUUUCUAUAAUGUUUGGCGUAAAAGGGAUGAUUCAUGGGUUCAACUCUUUAUUCAAACAUACAUCAAUAUGUAUGCGAUAUUCUUGUUUUGCAUUUCUACUCUAAUAUAAUAAGUUACAUAGAUACAUAAAUAACUACCUCCGAAAAAUUUGAAUGAAGACAUCUCUUUCACUACUAACUAACUAUAUGCAGUGUCACUUUGACAAAUUGUGUAUGCCGCAAGAAUAUGUUGAAAUCUUCGCAGCAACUCUUAUAUAAGCAAAGGAAAGGAGGC